UAUUUGUGAAGGUGGGAAGGUGAAUGAGGUACCUGUAAUAAGAAUUUACGGCUCUACUCAGGCCGGUCAGAAAGCUUGUCUGCACAUUCACAGAGCAUUACCAUACCUAUUUGUGCCGUGCAAAGAUAUACCGAUUCAACCACAUCAGAAAGGUGAUUCGUACACAUAUGAUAUAUCUCUUGCAUUAGAGAAAGCUUUGAAGGUAUGGGUCAUUGCUGUAGAGAGGGUGCUCUCUGCAAUAAUGUUGUAUAUGUG